CAUGCAAGUCGAACGAGAAAGUGGAGCAAUCCAUGAGUACAGUGGCGAACGGGUGAGUAACACGUGACUAACCUGCCUUCGAGUGGGGGAUAACCUCGGGAAACCGGGGCUAAUACCGCAUAACAUCCUCAGGGUGCAAUUCCCAGGGGACCAAAGGGGUAAGACGCUUGAAGAGGGGGUCGCGGCUGAUUAGCUAGUUGGUGAGGUAAUGGCUCACCAAGGCGAAGAUCGGUAGCCGGCCUGAGAGGGCGCACGGCCACACUGGAACUGAAACACGGUCCAGACUCCUACGGGAGGCAGCAGUGGGGAAUUUUGCGCAAUGGGGGAAACCCUGACGCAGCAACGCCGCGUGGAGGAUGAAGCCCCUUGGGGCGUAAACUCCUUUCGAUCGGGACGAUUAUGACGGUACCGGAUGAAGAAGCACCGGCUAACUCUGUGCCAGCAGCCGCGGUAAUACAGAGGGUGCGAGCGUUGUUCGGAAUUAUUGGGCGUAAAGGGCGCGUAGGCGGUGCGGCAAGUCACCUGUGAAACCUCUGGGCUUAACUCAGAGCCUGC
rnacentral:rRNA from 1 species